rnacentral:lncRNA from 1 species
GAAACGGGUCAGGCUGGGCCAUACCCCUAUCUGAGCCCGGCCUGAAAUAUUUUUUCGAGCUUUGGGCCGGGCUUAAGCUCGAAAAUAUUUUAGAAUUUAAGGCCCGAACUUGAUCUAAGCCCAAGUUUGACCCCGAUCCAAACUCAAUCGAGCCUACCCAAGAUCGAGCCCGAGCUUAGCCCAACCCCAUGAUUCUCCUCCCCCUGCUCUCCGCUUCCUCAUUCACUCUACCCAAACCCCACAUCUCCUCCCAUUCUUCCCUUGUGUGCUCUCAUCCAGUCUUCCUCCUCCCCCUCUAUUGUGAGUAUCUAACCCAG